rnacentral:rRNA from 1 species
UACAGAGGUCUCAAGCGUUUGUUCGGAUUCAUUGGGCGUAAAGGGUGUGUAGGUGGCGCGCUAAGUCGGGUGUGAAAUUUCGGAGCUUAACUCCGAAACUGCAUUCGAUACUGGCGGUGCUUGAGGACUGGGAGAGGAGACGUGGAAUUCAUGGUGUAGCAGUGAAAUGCGUAGAGAUCAUGAGGAAGACCAGUGGCGAAGGCGGGUCUCUGGACAGUUCCUGACACUGAGACACGAAGGCCAGGGGAGCAAACGGG